CAUGUACACCAAUGCCAUCUUAGAAAGGAGGACACGGAAGAAGAUCAACGCUACACACGCCACCAUUUUGUGAGCAUUUCUACUUGCGCGGUUCGAAGGAACGGUUGUGUGUGUUGCAAAGUUGUGAAGUUCUUUUAACCAAUUUACUCCUUCAAAACACAAAAUGUCACGUUAUCGUGAAUGGGAUCUUUCGUGCAAAGUUUAUGUUGGAAAUUUGGGCAGCAGUGCAAGCAAACAUGAAAUUGAAAGCGCAUUCAGUAAAUAUGGUCCACUAAGAAAUGUAUGGGUUGCCAGAAAUCCACCUGGAUUUGCUUUUGUAGAAUUUGAAGAUCCAAGAGAUGCUGAAGAUGCAGUUAGGGGACUAGAUGGAACACGCUGUUGUGGAACCAGAGUAAGGGUAGAGAUGUCCUCCGGCAGAAGUCGACGUGGUGGUGGUGGACGUAGACCCGGUCCAAGAUACUCCAGGUCCAGAUCUCGCAGUCCCCGAAGGAAAUCGCUGGGUCGUUACCCCAGGUCCUGGUCAAGAAGUCCGCGGAGAUCACCGAUAAGUCGAUUAUCCAGAUUCUACCAGCGUCAGCUCCUAGCUCUGCUCGUCUCCCCGCCACUACUACUACUGCUACUACUACUACUACUACAGCCACCGUGAAAAAAAGUCUAGCAAUCAAAACUGAACAAAAAAAAGCCUGCCUGCCCACUAACUUCCCAACCAGUCACCAUCAGUCACCACCAGUCACCGGUCACGGUCCCGUAGCCCUCGCAGGAGAUCACUGACCCGUAGCCGCAGCCGAGACCGUCGUUCUCGUUCGGAUUCCCGUGACAGACGUUAGGUGCUAAAAGUGUCGAGAGAACGGACCGACUAAAUGUGCCGGAUGGAAGACAAACGAAAACCGAUUUUAUAUGUACAUAAAGAAACAAUAAUAAUCGUUACCACGCGUACAUACUCGGAUCAAGCAAUGAUGAUAAUAAAGAGUAAAAGACAUUUCAUAAGAUACGAAACAAACAUUCAUACUUGUUGGAAGAAAUAUAGUGGGGAUGUAAAAAAAAAAGAGUAGGAGCGGGGAUGAAAACACAGUAUCAUACUUGAAUGUUGAGAGUGAAAAUCCCAAGGACGAACUGUGUACACUUUUUCGGCACUGUAGCACAUCAAGGGCUUGGGUAAUUAAAAACACUCAGUGGUUUGUACUCUUAUACGAGUAUGUCGCUUUCCAUUCCGCAAUAGUGCUUCGAGUAUCUCACUAUAUUCUUUUCACUAAGUACACAUACACGUUUAGGAUUUAAGCUGUUAAUUUUGUAUACGCAUGGAAGUCAGCUACGUGCGUAAUACUCUUUACACUGGUUCACACAGUACAUACACAUGCGUGUGCGCUCAUACACACAUCUUGCUCACGCAUACAUUACAUACACACACUUACACACUAUACAAAAGUUAAAAGGACACGAUUUUUUUUAUGACGCGAGCUAUCAAGUGCGUUGGAUCUCCUACAAAAUGUGCUUACUGCUUUAAAGUGUACGAGUGCGAUAAAAGAUUCGAUUUACAAUUAAGAAUAAUUAACGAUUAUCAGCAUAACCGUGAGUGGUAACCGACGGGAAUAAUCGAUACAGACUUCGGGUCAGAGACGUUUCACCGUGAAGAAGGUAACGGAAAAAGGAGAAAUGACCGUUUUAUGUUGUAUUAAUUAUUUUGUACUCUUACGAAUCUAAGAUUAAAAAUAAAAAAGUGUAUCGUA